rfam:Myotis lucifugus cont2.45246, whole genome shotgun sequence.
GAGACACCCUUAUGGGGAAAGAUUUGCUUCAGUGGGGCUUUGGUGCACACUGAAUCUUCCCCCUGAGUGUGUCCCU